rnacentral:rRNA from 1 species
AUUGAACGCUGGCGGCAGGCCUAACACAUGCAAGUCGAACGAGUGGCGGACGGGUGAGUAAUGUCUGGGAAACUGCCUGAUGUAGGGGGAUAACUACUGGAAACGGUAGCUAAUACCGCAUACCAUCAGAUGUGCCCAGGUGGGAUUAGCUUGUUGGUGGGGUAACGGCUCACCAAGGCGACGAUCCCUAGCUGGCCUGAGAGGAUGACCAGCCACACUGGAACUGAGACACGGCCCAGACUCCUACGGGAGGCAGCAGUGGGGAAUAUUGCGCAAUGGGCGAAAGCCUGAUGGAGCCAUGCCGCGUGUAUGAAGAAGGCCUUCGGGUUGUAAAGUACUUUCAGCAGGGAGGCGGUACCCGCCGAAGAAGCACCGGCUAACUCCGUGCCAGCAGCCGCGGUAAUUC